UAAUGACGUUAUGCACACUAGGUUAAAGUUUGCCUUUACAAAUGAUAGUUUAGUAUACGUAUAUAACUAACAGCAUUCAUAACUUUACCUGAAAGUUUAUCGAGUGAUUACUUUGAAGCCGACUGGAAAUGACAGAAGGAAGCAUCGAGUUUACCAUGUCAGAAACCGAAAGGGGUCUAAUACACAGCAGCUUGUACAGCCGUCACUCCAGGAAUCAUGUCUAAGGUGUGUCCCUGGAAGUCUGCAACAUAAUGACCCUGCUGGAAUACGGGGAAGAGAUCAGACGGAGACGUGUUGAGAAGUACAGGGAAUAUGAUAUAUUGAUGGACAGAAGACAAAGUGCUACGACUUUAAUCAUAGCUGGCAGCAAGGCGGAGGGGCUGACAUCCUGGGCUGAAAGCGACAUUGACUUGUUAAACGUGCUGAAAAGUGUCAUCUGUGUAGAAGCUGGAGUCGAUCUACACUCCAUACCAGACUACAUGGAAGUGUACAGUAUGGAUACACGGGUAUACCCAGGGCACUGUAGGAUGAUACUGCAGAGGCCUUCUUCAACAGGUGUAACAUUAUGUAAUAAUGCUCUGUGUGAUGACGGACAAGGGAACGCUUUGCUAAGCAGCAGUUUGCUUCUUGAUGAAUUUUCUAAAUUAAAAUAUUAUGUAGGAGUUCCACUUGAACGCACGGGGCCUUCACUACCGGUGUCUGGAAUAUACGGACUUAAUAUCGACAUCGUGCCUGCAAUAAACUGUCAAUGUCCUGGCAUCCUGCAGAGAUGAGCUCAACGAUCUCGACUUUUGCCGCCACCGGAUGUCGUGCAGAAAGUUGUAUCAUUUGGCUCGGUUGUUACCCCUGUAGGACAAAAAGGGAGUGAAUGUAGAUUUUUAGAGUGGAGGAUUUGCUUUAACAUGGGUGAAACGGAACUCGUUAACAAUCUUAGUGGCACUCAGGCAAAAUUGUAUGUAAUUCUAAAAAUGAUUGUAAAAGAACUACUGAAACCAAAAAAUAAAGAAAUAACAUCCUUUGUGAUGAAAAAUACCAUAUUUUGGCAAGCAGAAAGCAAUCCACUCGCAAUGUUUCAAGAAAGGAAUUUGAUCUAUUGGUUACAUGACGCGCUGGGAACACUCAGAACUGUCAUAUCCUCUACACAGAUGCCAUACUACAUGAUUCCUGAACGUAAUCUGAUGGCAGACUGUGGAUUGCAGGAUGCACAACAGCAAAAUUGGGUAGCAGUUAUCACGGAUAUGAUGGAGGAAGGGCCGAGGGUAAUAUUAAGAUUGUCGAAGAUCCGACAGGCCGUUAUCUGUCACAAAGAGCCCCUGUUUUGGUUCAGCAGGAGGAGGAUUGAGGUGGAGCUGCUGAGACUGGAGCGAAUGAGCAGAAGCCUACAAUGCACAGAUGAGAACGGGAUUUAUUAAUCAGAUAUCAUCAUGCAGGAGAUAAAAAGACGCACAUGCCAGAUAAUGGGAGAGAUUGCUUUACGGUUCGUUAUCGAAGGCAGCGUUUUUAAUUAUAUGGAUGACAUAUUCCGCAGAGUGUGUAUGUAAAAAUGAAUUGAAAUGACAUCUUUAUAGUCUCACACAUGUACAAGUUAAUUGCACCUGUGUUGGAUCCGAGUUUUUUGUCUUUAUUUUAUGCUAAGUGGUAGAAUAUGGAACACAACCAGUGAGGUAAUCGCAUCUCAAAAAGGUGAAAUAUUGUGGAAAGUAGGAUACACUAAAAUAAAAUAUUAAUUGUCAGUAGGCUUUUGGUAACUAAUUACUGAACAAAGGAUAUCAUUGACUUAAAAUACUACUUGCUCCCCUUUUCAGUGAUUUUGUUACGAUUUGUUUUAUCAGAAUAAAAUUAGAUUUAACUUUGUUGGUGAACAAACAUGCAAACAAACACAUAUUCACAAUUCAAAUAUUUCAUGUUUGCUCAAAUAUGUAACCCAUAAAUUUAAAUCAUAAUCUCGGCGUUGUGUUGCCUACACAUUAUAUGACAGUGGUGUUGUUUUUUUUUUCAACAUAAAUCGUCCGAAAAUCUUCUAAAGGGACUUGUUGACACAUUUUGGUAUUUUUUUUAAACAUGUCAUUAAAUGAAUUGACAUGUUUGAAAUAGUUUGAAAAACUAUAAUCACGAAAAACCGGAUAAAAUAGUUUUUAAGUAUACCGGCCCUUGGGUUCGAUCCUAUACCUCAGGAAGGAACACUUCCUUUUGAGUUUAAUUCAAACGCGUUGUUGGUAAUACACGUAUACGUCACUAAUCUGUCAUAUAUCUGCCAUUAACACGUUUUAGAGGAAUUCUCUAUAAUUAGCCAAUGCAAUCUUUGAAUAAUUCGUGUCUUCUGGCGGGACAUUUCUCCAACUUAUCCAUAUUGCAGUGGAUAAUGGUCAAUAAAGCGCAAAUUCUGGGUAAGACAGCUACGCUAACAGUCGUGAAAUGGCACUAUUGAUAAAUAUUUACUUUCAGUGCAAAUGAAUAGCACAGUUUAUCGAAAUGUUAUUUGCACUUAAAAGUUUCCUUUCCUUGUUGCUCGAUAUCAUGUCUGGUAACUAAAUGAUGACAUGUUAACACAUACAUAUCAUCAGGAACCUAUAAUGUCUGAUAAAUAUCGGCGGAAUGUUCAUCCAUCCCGAUUACGCGCCUGUUCCAUUUCUCGUGGAUAGAAAUGGCUGUAGGUAGUGUCUUUACACCAAUGUGCAUCUCGCCACAAAUGUUUUAUAAUUGUUAUAUAUUUAAAUUGGUUAUUUUAAUGGCAAACAAAAGGUUCGUUAGGUGUGAUGCGAUACUUGUAUACUACAUGUCAUAAGAAUGGAAUAAUGUGUCAAUGAAAAUCUGUAUGUUUCGCUUAACUUUAUUUGCACUUGCAGAACGCGAAAACCACAUACGCACGUGGUCUAGAAGUGUCAGAGUGUUGUAAAUUAUUUAAUCUGAUGCAAUAAUGUAAAACGCGUUCCCAAACAACAAAAAUAAACAUUUACAGCUGACAUCUGGAUCCGUUAUUGAGAAUAACAAUGAUCAAAGUGUUGCGUUUAAUUUAUUCAUUUUCGUGUAAUUGUUUUCGUUAUACAAUGCUGUUCAUAAAUUUCGAUGAAUGCGUGUAUAAUGUAUAAAUGCAAAGUUUAUUAUUUUCUAUCGAUUUAAUUCAUGUAUGAUAGUAUGUAAAAUUAAAUGUUCGUUAUCUUGUGUAUGUGUAUAACUUCGUAUUAUAUAUUUGCGGACUCAUGUGUGUAAUUAAUGUUCUGAUAUAGGGUGUUUGAACUGAUAAUAAAUGGAACAAAAUUA